rnacentral:rRNA from 1 species
GACGAACGCUGGCGGCGUGCCUAAUACAUGCAAGUAGAACGCUGAAGAGAGGAGCUUGCUCUUCUUGGAUGAGUUGCGAACGGGUGAGUAACGCGUAGGUAACCUGCCUGGUAGCGGGGGAUAACUAUUGGAAACGAUAGCUAAUACCGCAUAAAAUUGAUUAUUGCAUGAUAAUUAAUUGAAAGAUGCAAUUGCAUCACUACCAGAUGGACCUGCGUUGUAUUAGCUAGUUGGUGAGGUAACGGCUCACCAAGGCGACGAUACAUAGCCGACCUGAGAGGGUGAUCGGCCACACUGGGACUGAGACACGGCCCAGACUCCUACGGGAGGCAGCAGUAGGGAAUCUUCGGCAAUGGGGGGAACCCUGACCGAGCAACGCCGCGUGAGUGAAGAAGGUUUUCGGAUCGUAAAGCUCUGUUGUAAGAGAAGAACGAGUGUGAGAGUGGAAAGUUCACACUGUGUCGGAACUACCAGAAA